rnacentral:tRNA from 1 species
GGGCCAAUAGCUCAGUUGGUUAGAGCAACCGGCUCAUAACCGGUAGGUCCCGGGUUCGAGUCCCUGCUGGCCCA